GAGUUUGAUCCUGGCUCAGAUUGAACGCUGGCGGCAUGCCUUACACAUGCAAGUCGAACGGCAGCACGGGAGCUUGCUCCUGGUGGCGAGUGGCGAACCGGGUGAGUAAUGCAUCGGAACGUAUCCUGGAGUGGGGGAUAACGUAGCGAAAGUUACGCUAAUACCGCAUAUUCUGUGAGCAGGAAAGCGGGGGACCUUCGGGCCUCGCGCUCUUGGAGCGGCCGAUGUCGGAUUAGCUAGUUGGUGAGGUAAAGGCUCACCAAGGCGACGAUCCGUAGCAGGUCUGAGAGGAUGAUCUGCCACACUGGAACUGAGACACGGUCCAGACUCCUACGGGAGGCAGCAGUGGGAAUUUUGGACAAUGGGGGCAACCCUGAUCCAGCCAUGCCGCGUGAGUGAAGAAGGCC
rnacentral:rRNA from 1 species